rnacentral:rRNA from 1 species
GAUGAACGCUGGCGGCGUGCCUAAUACAUGCAAGUCGAGCGAACAGACGAGAGUGCUUGCACUCUCUGACGUUAGCGGCGGACGGGUGAGUAACACGUGGGUAACCUACCUAUAAGACUGGGAUAACUUCGGGAAACCGGAGCUAAUACCGGAUAAUAUUUAGCUUCGCAUGAAGCAAUAGUGAAAGACGGUUCUGCUGUCACUUAUAGAUGGACCCGCGGUGUAUUAGCUAGUUGGUGAGGUAACGGCUCACCAAGGCAACGAUACAUAGCCGACCUGAGAGGGGGAUCGGCCACACUGGGACUGAGACACGGCCCAGACUCCUACGGGAGGCAGCAGUAGGGAAUCUUCCGCAAUGGACGAAAGUCUGACGGAGCAAUGCCGCGUGAGUGAAGAAGGUUCUCGGAUCGUAAAACUCUGUUGUAAGGGAAGAACAAGUACGUUAGUAACUGAACGUACCUUGACGGUACCUUACCAGAAAGCCACGGCUAACUACGUG